UACAUCAUCUUCAAACAGGUAAUCUAGCUUGAAUGUCGUUUUAUCAUUCUCAAAACUACUUUGCCAGGUACGUUUCCUUUUGCAACAUGAUUUGCACUCUUUAAGCUUGGUUUUACAUUUGUUUAAACAAGGUUUGUCUCUUUUCGCUACUGCAACGACACUGCAACUUCCAGCUCCCAUUCUCACAAAUGUUUAAACAUUUCUGGUCAUCAUCGUGGGAGGAUAUCUUCCCGGGGACCAUAACAGUAAUCAAUGCAAUAUAUUUUAUCUAAAAAAAAUCAAAACAUGUUGUUCGUAUAAUAUCGUAGGUACAAGUUUGUAUGACAACUCACUGUUUAUUUGGUGGUGUAGGUAUAAGAAAUAUUUCUAAGGGCAUUGAAAGAGAGACAAGAUAUACCAAAGGGACAUUCAAACUCAUUUAUUGCAAAUAAACUGACAAUGCAAUUGCUAAAAAAAGACAAACAGAAAAA
rnacentral:lncRNA from 1 species